rnacentral:rRNA from 1 species
CAGUCGCCGCGGUAAUACGAAGGGUGCAAGCGUUAAUCGGAAUUACUGGGCGUAAAGCGUGCGUAGGCGGUUUGUUAAGUAUGCUGUGAAAUCCCCGGGCUCAACCUGGGAAUGGCAGUGGAUACUGGCAAGCUAGAGUGUGUCAGAGGAUGGUGGAAUUCCCGGUGUAGCGGUGAAAUGCGUAGAGAUCGGGAGGAACAUCAGUGGCGAAGGCGGCCAUCUGGGACAACACUGACGCUGAGGCACGAAAGCGUGGGGAGCAAACAGGAUUAGAUACCCCCGUAGUCCCUGUCUCUUAUAC